AGUCGGGGGUCUGUUUGUGUUUUUCCACAGGGAGAACAGCAGCCCAUUUGGAUUCCAGAGAGAUUAACUAAAACAGUUUCUACAGAUCGAAAAGAAGAUGAUUUGACUCAAAUCCAUAACAGCUGAUAUCCAGAACUCCAGCUUGGCCAUUCUUACAUCUGCGACAGUGAUUAACCAGGAUGCUUUUUUCAAUAGCUAUUUUAUUAUUGCAUUUUUCCACAUCAUAAGGUUCUAUUUUUAUUUUUUGAGCUCAUACAAACCUAGGUUAAUGUUUUUCUGAUCAGUUUUAUUUUUUGACUGUGGAGUUUUUAAACAUUGCAAUGGAGAUUUCACCUAGGAUAAUGUCUCUUUAGCAUCAUUGCCAGAAUUCCUAUCUCCAUCUCAGUGCUGGUGAAGAACUCAACAAGUAAUGCUCAAUCAAAGAGUCAACUUACUUUGGGAGGAAACGGAUUUUGGGAGGAAAUGGACAUAUUGAUAGAUUCCUCCGCUUUGAACUGCUUGCAGAACUUGCCUGGACUAUGUAACUAUCGUUUGGUGCAGCGAAUUGUGGUAAUGCUGGCAUAUCUUUGCUGAUGGUGUCACCAGUGAUGCAAUUUUUCCCAAGGAGCCGUCAAUUGGCUUGGUGUCGUGGCAUUUCUGUAUCCUCCUCCCUUCUGCUAGUGAUGGUCUAAAAUUUGGGGGCCAAUGGCUUAUGCUG